rnacentral:rRNA from 1 species
GAUGAACGCUGGCGGCGUGCCUAAUACAUGCAAGUCGAGCGAACGGACGAGAAGCUUGCUUCUCUGAUGUUAGCGGCGGACGGGUGAGUAACACGUGGAUAACCUACCUAUAAGACUGGGAUAACUUCGGGAAACCGUAGCUAAUACCGGAUAAUAUUUUGAACCGCAUGGUUCAAAAGUGAAAGACGGUCUUGCUGUCACUUAUAGAUGGAUCCGCGCUGCAUUAGCUAGUUGGUAAGGUAACGGCUUACCAAGGCAACGAUGCAUAGCCGACCUGAGAGGGUGAUCGGCCACACUGGAACUGAGACGCGGUCCAGACUCCUACGGGAGGCAGCAGUAGGGAAUCUUCCGCAAUGGGCGAAAGCCUGACAGAGCAACGCCGCGUGAGUGAUGAAGGUGUUCGGAUCGUAAAACUCUGUUAUUAGGGAAGAACAUAUGUGUAAGUAACUGUGCACAUCUUGACGGUACCUAGUGAGAAAGCCACGGCUAACUACGUG